rnacentral:rRNA from 1 species
GAUGAACGCUGGCGGCGUGCCUAAUACAUGCAAGUCGAGCGAACGGACGAGAAGCUUGCUUCUCUGAUGUUAGUGGCGGACGGGUGAGUAACACGUGGAUAACCUACCUAUAAGACUGGGAUAACUUCGGGAAACCGGAGCUAAUACCGGAUAAUAUUUUGAACCGCAUGGUUCAAAAGUGAAAGACGGCCUUGCUGUCACUUAUAGAUGGAUCCGCGCUGCAUUAGCUAGUUGGUAAGGUAACGGCUUACCAAGGCAACGAUGCAUAGCCGACCUGAGAGGGUGAUCGGCCACACUGGAACUGAGACACGGUCCAGACUCCUACGGGAGGCAGCAGUAGGGAAUCUUCCGCAAUGGGCGAAAGCCUGACGGAGCAACGCCGCGUGGGUGAUGAAGGUCUUCGGAUCGUAAAACUCUGUUAUUAGGGAAGAACAUAUGUGUAAGUAACUGUGCACAUCUUGACGGUACCUAAUCAGAAAGCCACGGCUAACUACGUG